rnacentral:sRNA from 1 species
UAGUGUUUUAAUUCAAUGGAAUCACUGC